rnacentral:rRNA from 1 species
GAUAGUGCAGCACUAAGUGGGUGGUAAACUCCAUCUAAAACUAAAUAUAACCAUGAGACCGAUAGUAAACAAGUACCGUGAGGGAAAGUUGAAAAGAACUCUGAAUAGAGAGUUAAAUAGUACGUGAAACUGCUUAGAGGUUAAGCCCGAUGAACCUGAAUAUCCAUUAUGGAAAAUUCAUCAUUAUGAUUUUAAUAUUAAUAAUAUUAAAUUAAUAGUGUGCAUUUUUUCCAUAAAGGACAUUGUAAUCUAUUAACAUAAAUAUAUAUUUAUCAUAAGAUCAAUGGUGCUUCAGUUUAUUCAAAUUAUUUUGCUUGCAAUUUAACAUAGAAUAAAUGCUCUUGAUUUGAUAAAGUGUUGAUAGAUUUAUUAUAUAUAGUGCUUAAAUAUAUAUAUUUUAUAAUAGCAUAUUAAUCAUUGAUUUUUAUGUUUAUUAUAUGCACUUAUAUGAUUAACAAUGCGAAAGAUUCAGGAUACCUUCGGGACCCGUCUUG